UUAAAUUGAAGAGUUUGAUCAUGGCUCAGAUUGAACGCUGGCGGCAGGCCUAACACAUGCAAGUCGAACGGUAGCACAGAGAGCUUGCUCUCGGGUGACGAGUGGCGGACGGGUGAGUAAUGUCUGGGAAACUGCCUGAUGGAGGGGGAUAACUACUGGAAACGGUAGCUAAUAC
rnacentral:rRNA from 1 species